AAUUUUUUUUGCAACUAACAUUACUGCAUAUUUGUGGUAGUUUAUAUAUUUUAGCCCAUUUUUGUGCUUGGCAAUAAUUGCUGCUAGAAAAUGCAGCAUCUUCUCCUCUCAUCUCAUUUAUUUAGAAUGCCAGACAAAGAUGUUAUAACAUUGCUUUUAAUUUCUGCUGCUCUUGGUAGGAUAUGUUGGACAUUAUGUGUCUGUGUUUUUUUAAUUUGCACAUUGUCAGUGGAUCAACAGCAGAACUUUACACUUCAGUCUACACUUUUAUGGGAUUUUGGACUCACGCUAAUUUGACCUGUUUAAUGCAAAGGGAAAUCUUGCAUUAAAGCUGUUGCCUGUUUUGCGUCCACCUCCAUCCUACAAAAUUGGCAGAAAAACAGUCCGGCCCAGCAUUGAUGAAAGCAAAAAAGCUUUCAUUGACAUUCAGCCUGUUGGAACAAAUAUGGUGGAGUACCUCCAGCAGGCUGAAGCAUCAAGACCUUACCCUUAUGUCCUGUCACUUGAAAAUGGACACAUUGACUCGCAGGCAUUUGUCAUCCUCGCAGGAGAAGCUUUGGAGCAAAGUACUCUCAUUGGGGCAGUAGAUGUAUGCUUCAAAUCGUUUUAUGUUUUU